rnacentral:rRNA from 1 species
UAGGGAAUAUUGCUUAAGGGGCGCAAGCCUGAAGCAGCAACGCCGCGUGUGCGAUGAAGGCCUUCGGGUCGUAAAGCACUUUUUGGAGGGAUGAGGAAGGACAGUACCUCCAGAAUAAGCCUCGGCUAACUACGUGCCAGCAGCCGCGGUAACACGUAGGAGGCAAGCGUUAUUCGGAUUUACUGGGCGUAAAGCGCAUGUAGGCGGUCUGGAAAGUUGGAUGUGAAAGCUCCCGGCUUAACUGGGAGAGGUCGUUCAAAACUACCAGGCUAGAGGAUGGGAGAGGGAGGUGGAAUUCCGGGUGUAGUGGUGAAAUGCGUAGAUAUCCGGAGGAACACCAGUGGCGAAAGCGGCCUCCUGGCCCAAACCUGACGCUCAGAUGCGAAAGCUAGGGUAGCAAACG